ACCUACGGGAGGCAGCAGUGGGGAAUUUUGCGCAAUGGGCGAAAGCCUGACGCAGCAACGCCGCGUGGAGGAUGAAGGUCUUCGGAUUGUAAACUCCUGUCAGUGGGGAAAAAGGGGAACGUGCUCAUACCACGUUUCAUUGAUUGUACCCGCAGAGGAAGCCCCGGCUAACUCUGUGCCAGCAGCCGCGGUAAUACAGAGGGGGCAAGCGUUAUUCGGAAUUAUUGGGCGUAAAGGGCGCGUAGGCGGCCCUUCAAGUGGUAGGUGAAAUCCCUCGGCUCAACCGAGGAGCUGCCCGCCAAACUGAAGAGCUUGAGUCCGGGAGAGGUGAGUGGAAUUCCCAGUGUAGCGGUGAAAUGCGUAGAUAUUGGGAGGAACACCAGUGGCGAAGGCGGCUCACUGGACCGGAACUGACGCUGAGGCGCGAAAGCGUGGGGAGCAAACGGGAUUAGAUACCCCGGUAGC
rnacentral:rRNA from 1 species